CCAGACUCCUACGGGAGGCAGCAGUAGGGAAUCUUCGGCAAUGGGGGGAACCCUGACCGAGCAACGCCGCGUGAGUGAAGAAGGUUUUCGGAUCGUAAAGCUCUGUUGUUAAGGAAGAACGAGUGUGAGAAUGGAAAGUUCAUACUGUGACGGUACUUAACCAGAAAGGGACGGCUAACUACGUGCCAGCAGCCGCGGUAAUACGUAGGUCCCGAGCGUUGUCCGGAUUUAUUGGGCGUAAAGCGAGCGCAGGCGGUUAGAUAAGUCUGAAGUUAAAGGCAGUGGCUCAACCAUUGUAGGCUUUGGAAACUGUUUAACUUGAGUGCAGAAGGGGAGAGUGGAAUUCCAUGUGUAGCGGUGAAAUGCGUAGAUAUAUGGAGGAACACCGGUGGCGAAAGCGGCUCUCUGGUCUGUAACUGACGCUGAGGCUCGAAAGCGUGGGGAGCGAACAGGAUUAGAUACCCUGGUAGUCCACGCCGUAAACGAUGAGUGCUAGGUGUUAGGUCCUUUCCGGGACUUAGUGCCGCAGCUAACGCAUUAAGCACUCCGCCUGGGGAGUACGACCGCAAGGUUGAAACUCAAAGGAAUUGACGGGGGCCCGCACAAGAA
rnacentral:rRNA from 1 species